GGAUUAGAUACCCUGGUAGUCCCAGCCGUAAACGUUGUCUACUCGGUGAUGGACUUGUCGAUCGGUUCAUUGCCCAAGCUAACGUGAUAAGUAGACCGCCUGGGGAGUAUGCGCGCAAGCGUGAAACUCAAAGGAAUUGACGGGGGCCCGCACAAGCGGUGGAGCAUGUGGUUUAAUUCGAUAAUAAGCGAGGAACCUUACCUAGGUUUGACAUCCCGAUCGCGGUUUCCAGAGAUGGAUUCCUUCAGCUAGGCUGGAUCGGUGACAGGUGCUGCAUGGCUGUCGUCAGCUCGUGCUG
rnacentral:rRNA from 1 species